AACUUUUAGUGUAAAAAACAAAUUAUAACUAAACCCAAUCUAGCCAUAAAUAAACUAUUCCAACAAACCAUAACCUCAGAACUCGGAUUAGAUACCCGACUACUGUAUGGCCCAACACAUAAAAGAAUACUACGAGCGAAAGCUUAAAACUCAAACAAUGUGGCGGUGCUUUACUCCUCAUCAGGGGAUCCUGUGGCUUAAUUCGAUAAUCCACGAAGAUCUUAGCUACUCUUGUUUACAGCUUGUGUAUGGCCGUUUAUGCUUGCUCAUAGAAGAAAAAAAAGGAAGCAAUAGGACUAAUUACCCAAAAAUUCAGGUGACAUACAGCCAAUGAGUAGCAGAUCCAUGGGAUACAAAUAAACAUACUACCAGAUUUUAAAACCUAAAACUUUAAUGAAGGAGGACUUGAAAGUAAGAUUUAUCCUUAUAUAAUAUAGAUCUGGACAAGAACUAAAGCGCGCACAAAUCGCCCGUCACUCCGACAAUAAAGUCGGAUAAGUCGUAACAUAGUAGGGGUAAUGGAAAUUGCCCCUAUCACA
rnacentral:rRNA from 1 species